UCUGGCGACACACAAUAAUUGGCCUAUUAUCUGGGAACUCCGGCUGAAUUGGCACAAGCUGACACUGAGCGGGGGGCUUUAAACCUGGGGGAGAGUGACUCAGGCACAGGAAGUUGCUAUGUCCACAGACCUCUGAGAAUAUUCAUGGCGAUGGUUGCAACCUGACCAUAAAGAAAGACAUCAUGAAGGAUGGCAUUUGAGUUCAUGGAAGUUCACAGAGGAGUGAGAAAGUCACCUUAUCAUUGUCUCUGGGUUCAUUCAAGACCAUGAAAUGGAGCCUAAAUCCAUCCACCAUGAUGCCAGAUGCCUAUUUGACAGAAGAUGGGAUACAACAGACAACUCAGCCAGUCAGGUGUUCCGUCAUUUGUCUCUGACAAAGUCCAAGCCCACCCAAACCCAUGUGAAACCCCGGAGUCCCCACUCUUCCCCAGCCUGCCCCAGAUCUGAGCAGCAGCCCUCUGAGCUGCCUGCGCCCAAAGUGUUGUUUCCUGGAGCCUGGUCCUAUCUUCUGUAGGUACAAAGAGAGUGGGUGGGGAGUGCUUUGGUUGCUAAGGCUUCCGUUGGGGUGUGUAAGGCCUUCUGGUAAAUCCACUGAGUCAUUCCUCAUUAACUUAUCACUCAGUUAACAUGAUUAUGCACCUUUAGUGAUCUAGGUAUGUUUUACUGGAGGAAGAGAGGGAAAGAGAGAGACAG